CCGAAAACAAAGAAUAUUUUGGUACAAGAUAAAACAAUUGUAAAUAUGUAUUUGGAUACAUUCGAAGAUAUUUUAGAAGAUAUUCUUCGUAGCGUUUAGAUAAAAAAUCUAGAACAAUAUUUAAAUAUAUUUUUAAAAAUAAAAUAAUUAAUUUAUAUUAGUAUAUUUUAUAUAAAAUUAUUUCAUAUAGUAAUUUAUAAUAUAAUAUUUUAUGUAAUAAUUUAAUUUAAAAUAGCAUAUUUAUGUUAAUAUAUAUAAUAAUUUAUUUUCUAUAAUAAUUUAUUUUAUAUAAUUUAUUUAUAAUAUAUGUAAGGAAUAAAGUAUAAUACUAACAAUAUCCUUAUAAUUUUAAUUAAUAAUAUUAUAAAUUUUAAUACAAAUUAAAAAUAUUUGUAAUAUAUGAAAAAUGAUUUUAUAUAUAAAAUACUUAAUAUUAAAUAAAAUAAUUAAAUAUUAAUAAAUAAAUAAUAAAACUUAAUAAAAUAAAUAAUAUAUCAAAUUUAAUUAAUUUAUAUUAUAUAAUAAAAUUUAAGUAUAAAUAUAUUAUCAUAAAAAUAUUAAUAUAUUUAUNAUAUAUAUAUAUAAAGAGAAGAACAAAGUUGUGUUUAGUUUUCCUUCGAACCAUUUUUAACGGAUUGUUCCAGAAUAACCUGCUUUUAGCGGAACAACCCAUUCUCUUUAGUUCUUCCAUCGGUUGGUUAUAAAUUGGAGGAUAUACCGUCUUGUUCCAGAAUAUCUCCGAUACCAAAUACAGCCUAGAGGAAUAGUAAUGUAUUUCCUAUUCAAACUUUGGUUCCUAGGAGGAGAACUUUGUGGAAAAAAUGGAUUACUAUAAAAGGUACUAUGAAACUUUUUGAAAGAUUCAAGACAUGAAAAUUAAUUUUAAAAAAUGGAAUAAUGAGGUUAGAAGACUAUUGGAAUUUUAACUUAGGGCGUCCUAAACUGCUAAGUAGAUUAAAUUCUGAUGGCAUACCAUGUUAGACCGUCAAUUAAUUGAUUAUUUCUAAUAACUUAGGCUUUUAUUGAUAAUUAGUUGUUUUACAAAAUUAAGCUGAUUUAAUUACUAUAUUAUAGUCAACACUUCUUACCGCAUGUGCCUUGUUGUUUGACUUCUGUCACUGCAUCAUAGUCCCUCCAAUCUAUACUAUCGGGCACUGCGGACAUGUUUACAUCCUCAAAGGACGUCAAGGGCGCCUCUUGCUUCACGUUUAGGGGGAUAGAAGCACUGGUGUACUUACUCAGAAAUUCAUCAAAUGUCAUAUCAGCAAAUUGGUUGGUGCCGAGAGUGUACGAGUUUCCGCUCCGAUUAUUGAAGGUUUCAAUAUAGUUCACGUUAUCCUGAAAUAUCUGAAACCGCCGCCACUUCUCCGCAUCAUCUGCAUAAACACGGCCGAACCGAGCCAUCCAUUCUUCGAACCUCUGCAUCAUGGGAUGACUAGGAGAAGUUGCCCGGGGCGAAGCCCACAUCAGAGAAACAACCAUGUAAAAAAACAAGAGUAGAUAUUUGGAACCCAUGUGUAGCAGUACUAAUAAUAGCAGCUGCACUUGGAAGGGAGACUAUUUAUAUGAUCUAGCUUUCGUUGUGAGGAUGAGCUUCUCGCAUCGAGCUUAUAUAUAUAUAUAUAUAUACACUCAUAUAUAUAGAAGUGCGCGAUUGCUACAUGGAGUAUUAGUGGGAGAUAGAUGUGGACCAUUAUCGAAGGAAAAUAAUUGCCUUUCCUGUUUAAUAAUUAGUUGAGGGAUCCAACACUAGCUUGAUAGGUAAUUAGAAUUAGAUAGGUACAUUAAUUCAUAUCCGUUUUUAUUAACGUAAAGCUAUAUAUAGAUCCAUGGUUCGUACCCUCAAAUCAAUCUUUAAAAAUAAGGAUUGAACCCAGUUCUUAAAUUAUUGUCUAAUUCUAGACUUAUUAGAUAGCAUUCUAUUUUGAAGGAUCAAUUUCUUGUAUACUCCUGUAAGGACUGAGCCCUUGAUGAUUAAUAUCUAAGGUCUCAAAUUCGAACUUUAGUUAUUUUAUAUUUCUAGCAGAGUACAUUUCUAUAAAGCUAAACGAAGCUGAUAACUUGUUACCAUUCACUUUCUCAAAAAAAAAAAAAAAAAAGAAGAGAAAACUAAAAGGUUACUAAUAAGAUAAUAGCAGUAAUAAUAGUACAAGGAAAUGUAUAGAGUUCCUCUUGAUCAAUUAUUAGCUAUGACAAAUGAAUGAUUGGAUCAUUGAGGAAAAAAAAAANAUAUAUAUAUAUAUAUAUAUAUAUAUAUAUAUAUAAUGAAAACUCUAUUCAAACAUAUAUUUUUGGGAUGUAUGAUAUACACCUAUUCUUUCUAAGGUGCUAGUAGAAUCCAUUCCAUCUUUAAAAUGGAUGGGUGUAUAUCAUACAUCCUAAAUAGGGAUGUAUGUUUAGUAUUACUCUUUUGAAAUAUUUCUAGCCCCAUCAAUUGAGUUUACAUAUUUUAACUUUUAAGUUGAGUUAUCAUUUUAGCAAAAUAUUUUAAGAAUUUUCAGAAUUUUUCAAUAUUUCCAUGAAAUUUUAUAAUCUCAAUUACUUUUUAAAAUUAGUAUAAUUAAUUGCUAUAUAUCUGAUAGAGUGCUUUUUUAAAUUAAAUUCAUUUUUUUAGUUAAAUAACUAGGAAUUUUUAAAGUGAAAAUAUAAGAUGGCAAUUUUAAAAUGUCUUAUAUACAUUUGAGGAGGCCUCCGUUCAUCCAUUUAGUGGGUAGGCCUCCGUGCAUUUUUCUCAUUUAAUGAAAAUUUGAACUGAAAUUAUACUUAGAUAUUCUUGCCAUAACAACAUUCUAAAAAAAAAGAAAAUGUAUUUUGAUAUAGUUCCGACACAGACUUUGAAAAAAUAAAAAAAUUGACAAUUUUAUUGGUAGAUGUGAUGCGUUUGUAAAUUUAACGGUAUAAAAUAAUUCAAAUCUGAUGAAAUUUUUAUAGAAAAUUUUUUUCACUAUUUAGAGUAAGAUCAAUACCUCUAAUCUUAAAUUCAAAUCUUUUGUCAUCAUUUUUUAUGAGAUUUUUAUUUUCAAUCAUUAACUUUUAGACUACUCAUUUGAUAGGUAAUGAUGCCAAAAAAUUAUGAAAUUUAGCUUCAAAAUACUUUAAAUAAUGUAGAUCAACUCGAGCAGAGCCGAUCGUUGAUUUGGAAGCCGCACCAUUAAAAAUAACUUGGUAGCACGGAGGUCUCCAUGCUACCGAUAGUAUACCAGCCUUGCUUUCUUUCUCUCUCUAUAUAUAUAUAUAUAGAGAGAGAGAGAGAGUCCAGUUGUGAUACUAUCGAUAGCACCAAGGACUUAGUGCUAUUGAGUUUUCUACCGUUAAAUUUAACCGUUUGGUUAUUUUUACUCAUUAGAUUAUACUAUUCAAUCAACCACCCACUCAACUCUAGGGGACCCACAUCAUCCUAACCGCAUAUUUCUCAAUCCAAUGGCUAAAAAACUAAUAACACCAAUAACUUUGUGCUAUUGAUAGUGUUCCAGCCUAAUUUUAUCAAUAACAUUAAAUUAUUGGUGUUAUUAAAUUUUCAGUUAUUGAAUGAAAAAAAUAUACGGUUAUGAUGAUGCGGGCUCCUCGAGAAUUGAGUGAGUAAUUAGUGAGUUGUUAGUUGAGUUAUUAGUUGAAUCGGUCAAACUGGAAGCCACGAGGAACACGAACCACUUAAGCACGCAGAAUACAUAACGCACACAUCCAAACAAGUUAACUCGAUCUCCACGCACACGUCGACGUUAUUUAGUAGCUGUCGAGUUUAUCGUGUCGCGAGCAGAUCGAUCGAUCACUUCAUAUAUAGCUGAAUUAUACAUCGCUUCGAUCUGAAUUAUACAGCGCUUAUGCCAUCAGAUCCCACGUCGGAGAGUUCGAGAGGAGUCGAGUUGAUAAUCGGGAUGAGCGGCCACUCGGCAAUACCACAUAAUCCUUCAACUGCAGCGACAUCUCUUUCCAAACGCCCGAACCCCUUUUCGCCCCAGUUUUUUCCCCACGAGUUCUUCAGUAUCCAAUAUUUAUCUCCGGUAUUACUGUCCUCGCCAUAACCUAUAAUGGUGACGGCAUGGUUGACUGCAGUUCCGCAGGGUCCCUUAAAGACGCCACCGUUGUAAAGCUGGAAGUCCUUGGUGGCUUCGACAGCGGAGGCUACCGGUUGCUUCGACACGGCAACCUUAAGACUGGCUUCGUUCUUUCUAGGCAGAAACUUGUAAGCGUCGAUUUCAGCUGCAUUCGGCACGAUGUUGGACUCGCAAUUGCCUAGAACUCCUGUAUAGGGAUAGGAAGACUCGGUUGUCACACCUCCAUUCCGUAUGAUGAAUUUGUAGGCUUGGUGCACCCAGCCUCCACCUUUGCACCCGCUGCUAACGCUGCAAUCCAGAACCUCCUGCUCUGAUAGGGAUAUCAGUGCUCCUUUUUUGAUCUUGUAGAUUCCUUCCACCGUCGCAAUCGCAGUGAACGCCCAGCAAGAUUCUAUUCGAAAGAAAAAUUUUACUAUAGCAUUUGCAAGAGAAAUAUAUAUAUAUAUAUGUCCGUUAUUAAUUAAUUAAGGCAAAAGAAAUUAUAUAUGUCAUUUAUUAAGACAUAAUUAUGUAAUAAUAUUUAAAUCUAUAAGAAACCCGUAUUAUUGUUAUCAUUAAAUUAUUAUUGUUGAGUACAAAUCGUACUAAUAAAUAAUAAUUUUUUUUUAUUGUUGUUGUUAUUAGUACUUAGCACAAUAAAAUAAUUUGUAUUAAAAUAUAUAAUAUGUUAAAAUAUAUUAUCUUUUAUUAUAUUUAUACAUUUAUAUAGAGCUAAGCUCCUAUACUAUCUAUAAUACCAGUCUUUGAUACUAUAGUCUUGUUUUCAACUUUAAAAUAUUCGAAUUAAUGAUUCAUGCCGUUAAAAACUGAUUUAGGGUAUUUGAAGUUUUUGAAAUAAAAUUUUAUAUUUUUUCGAUGGAUUGCUUAUGAUCAAAUCAUUUAAAAAUUAUCAAUUUUCAAUGACUAGUAUGGUGAGUUUGUAAUAUAUAUAACGGUAUAAAAAAUUCUAAAUUUAUUCAUAUUUUUAUAAAAAAAAUAUUUUAAACUAUUUAGAUCAAGAUCAACAUACUUAAUCUUGAAUUUAAAAGUUCUAUCCUCAAAUUUUAAAAUUUGUUCAAUUUUAACUGUUCAUUUUAAUAUGAUUUACUUACUAAGUAAAUAAUGUCAAAAAAAGUUAAAAUUUUAUUUUUAAGAAUUUUAUAUAUUCUAAAUCAUAUGUUACGUUGUGGAUUAUUGAUUUGAACAUCUUAAGAUCGAAAAUAAAACUAUAAUACCGGAAGCAUCGAUACUAUAUAUAGUAUAAUAGCCUAAUUUCGUUUAUAUAUAUAUAUAUAUAUAUAUAUACUAUUGGGGACGGUUUAUAAUUAUCACAUUUGACGGUCUCACCCCAUAUCUGAUAUGAAGACACAUGAUAUAUGAUAUAAUGCCCGCACACUGUUGUUGGGCUUAAGACAUAAACUUUCAAUUUAAAUGUGAAAAAAUUAUUUAUCUAAGGCAGAUGGAAUGGUAGGCCGAGCACAUUUUGUUCUUGUGUUAACAAGGGCUGCGUUUGGUUGAAAAACUAAAUUUUGUAAAACAACUUUUGUUAUUCCCGAGAACAAAAAAUAUUUCGGUAAAAGAUAGAAUCAUUGUAAAUUUGUGUUUGGAUACAUUUGGAGAUAUUUUAAAAAAUAUUCUUACUAGCGUUUGAAUAAAAAGUCUAGAAUAAUAUUUAAAUAUAUUUUUAAAAAUAAAAUAAUUAAUUUAUAUUAGUAUAUUUUAUAUAAAACUAUUUCAUAUAUUAAUUUAUAAUAUAAUAUUUUAUGUAAUAAUUUAAUUUAAAAUAGCAUAUUUAUUUUAAUAUAUAUAAUAAUUUAUUUUAUAUAAUUUAUUCAUAAUAUAUGUUAUGAAUAAAGUAUAAUACUAAUAAUAUCCUUAUAAUUUUAAUUACUAAUAUCAUAAAUUUCAAUACAAAUUAAUAAAUAUAUAUCAUGUAUGAAAAAUUGAUUAUAUAUACAAUACUUAAUAUUAAAUAAAAUAACAAAAUAUUAAUAUAUAAACGAUAAAACAAAAUAAAAUAAAUAAUAUAUCAAAUUUAAUUAAUUUAUAUUAUAUAAUAAAAUUUAGGUAUAAAUAUAUCAUCAUAAACAUAAUAUUUAUAUUAAUAUAUUUAUUUAUAUAUCUAUUUAUCUAAUAAAAUAAAAAGAAGAACAAAUUUAUUCUUAGUUUCCCUUCGAACAAUUUUUAACAAGUUGUCCCAGAACAAUCCGUUUUGAUCGGAACAACCCCUUUUUUUCAUCUUUCACCAUUU
rnacentral:lncRNA from 1 species